rnacentral:rRNA from 1 species
AACGCGAAGAACCUUACCUGGGCUUGACAUACUGGUGAAAGCUGGUGGAAACAUCGGCCCCUCUUCGGAGCGCCAGCACAGGUGCUGCAUGGCUGUCGUCAGCUCGUGUCGUGAGAUGUUGGGUUAAGUCCCGCAACGAGCGCAACCCUCGCUCCCAGUUGCCAGCGGUUCGGCCGGGGACUCUGGGGGGACUGCCGGCGUUAAGCCGGAGGAAGGUGGGGACGACGUCAAGUCAUCACGGCCCUUACGUCCAGGGCGACACACGUGCUACAAUGCCCGGUACAGCGCGUCGCCAACUCGCGAGAGGGAGCCAAUCGCUAAAAGCCGGGCUAAGUUCGGAUUGCAGUCUGCAACUCGACUGCAUGAAGCCGGAAUCGCUAGUAAUCGCGGAUCAGCCACGCCGCGGUGAAUACGUUCCCGGGCCUUGUA